rnacentral:rRNA from 1 species
AUAUAUAUAUCGCGCACUGGGAGAUCUCUAUACCUUAUACACUAUCUCUCUAUGCGUGUAAGACACACAGAAUGACUUCUCUGUAUCGCGUUAUCCCUCAAUUGCGUUACACCGUGACCCAAUAUUCUUAUAUUAUGGAUAACUCAGGGAAAGUUUGGCUAAUACGUACACGAGUCUAUAUAUAUAUAUAUAUACACUAUUCACACACACACACACUCUUAUAUGUGUAUCAACGACGGGUCUUGCUUUCUAUACACGCGCUCACUGCAUGCAACCAUGUUACGAUAUAUAUAGUGAAUAGUGAUAUCUACUCAGCACUCAAUGGUAAACUUUUUAGAUUUGCAUACUGUUACAUCGCUUCGGCGUGUACUAUAUGUAUUUCUUAACACUUAUUCACAGUUUACACGCACCAUGAGAGACAUUGAGCACGCUCUAGUGUGAAUGAAUUUCAUUUACACGUCUACGCUGAGCAGACUUUGCGAAGUUUACUUUGCGAAGCAUGUCAUACAAGCAUCUACAGCAUCAAGUCACAGGGUUGGCAAGUGUAUUAUUGAACCUUCAAAGCAGUCACGCAUACGGAGGAGUAGUUUCUUAUCCCAUAGAAGGAGCACCGUACAAUGAGAGACCGCUCUUAGUUCUAAGGAACGCAGCAGGCGCAAAAAUUGCCCAAUGCUAGUACCCUAUUAUACUAUCGAAUAUUUAUAUCGCACACACACACACGCACACAUUAUAUAUUAUAUCCUUGUUCGCAUAGUCUCACAUUAUACUGAGGCAGUGACAAGCUGUAACGGUUGAGUAUUUAUAAUGACGAGUGUCUGGCAUUGCCGCUUCCUCGGAAGCUUGGCAAGUUGCCGACGCUUUGUGUGCUCAAUUGGAAUGCGGUGAGUCCAAGCAACUCAGAACCUUUGAACCUGUGUUUACACGAUCUCACGUGUUUACACUAUUCAUGUAUCUGAAUUUCAAGUGGAGGGCAAGUCUGGUGCCAGCAGCCGCGGUAAUACCAGCUCCACUGGCCUAUACAAUCAUUGUUGCGGUUAAGAGGCUCGUAGUUGGAUUGAACUACUCAUACACAUGCACUUUCACAUGCAUAUAUUUUAGUAGCACGCAUAUAUAUACACUAUACACACACACACACACACACAGUAUAUAUAUAUAUAUGCGUKCGACUUCUAUUGUAUCGUAUAUACGUUACGUACGUACGUGAUGAGUGCAAAGAGAGUGUAUAUACCUCACCCUUUCAACACUGUGAACAAAUCAGAGUGUAUCACAYAUGUCUUUUUCAUUUGAAUGCGCAUUGAAUGUCUUAUCAUGGGACGUCAUACCUCUAAACCAUUGAAAAGUAACAUGUACGAUGCACACUCAUACACUCUAUACAUGCACACACACACACACACACACUCACUCACNAUACACAUACACGUGUAUAUACUUUGAUGGGYUCUCAAUUGCAAUUUACCUUUACGGUGACUUUGCAAGCAUCCUCAGCCUGCAAAAUGCCUUAUGGCUUGAGCUUGUAUCUUUUACGAGGUACGCUCGCUGUAUAGCACUUUUAUGCACGGUCUCGACGGACGUUUCAUUUCAUUAUUCUUUAUUUAUUGCGUGUAGGCAUUAUGACUAUAUAUUUUUAAACGAAUGUAUAUCAUUAGCGUGCACAGGAUUUUCGGAGCUUUGCGCUCAAUUUAUUCUGGUGAGAUGUAAGCAUCAUGUUUCUUUCUGCCGCGUACUUCAACCUAUGCGUGUAGCAAAGCUAACAAUUUAUAUGUGAAGCACGCUUUAGGCACGCGCUUACUGCAGAAAUGUCUGAGACAUUCCUUUCCGGGGGAAGUAUGUACGCAAGUAUGAAACUUGAAGGAAUUGACGGAAGGGCACCACAAGAACGCGUGGAGCAUGUGGCUUAAUUUGACUCAACGCGGGAAAUCUUACCGGGUCCGGACACACUGAGGAUUGACAGGCAAUAUUAUACUCGCAGUCUCACCGCGUGUAUAUGUUAAAUAUGCUAGUCCUUUCAUGAUUAUGUGAUAGGUGGUGCAUGGCCGUUCUUAGUUCGUGGAGUGAUCUGUCUGCUUAAUUGCGUUUCACUAAAGGGCUUAUACAUUUAUAUAUUUUACAUAUAUACUAUGCGCAUACACUUUACUGUGUGUGUGUGUAUGUGUGUGUAUCUCAUAUACUUAGGCUCUGAAAGCAACGAACGUGACCGCAACCUCUUGUUGCCUUAUAUAUACAACACUCAUAUAUGCACUUUAUUGUGUGUGUGUGUAGUGUAUGACGCCAAGGCUUUUUAAACUAGAGGGACCGCUGUGACAUUCUUUCAACCAGAGGAAGGUUGCGGCAAUAACAGGUCUGUGAUGCCCUUAGAUGUUCCGGGCUGCACACGUGCUACAAUGAUUAUUGCAGUGAGCAUCUCAUUUGAUUUAUACAUCGCUUGCGCGAGUACACGCGUAUAUAUAUAUUAUACUUUACGGUAUAUGUAUGUGUGUAUGUGUGUUACUCUGCGCGCGAUUCAGCCUGCUCCGUUAGGUAGCGGGUAAUCAAUUAGAAGUAGUGAUUUCCUUUAUAUUUUUUGCACGACUAUAUACGGCGUCUUAUGCCCGGCUUAUACUUCGCUAUAGGUUUUGUGUUGCAUUCGAUGUAUAACCGUAUGUGCAAUUGUCAAUUCAUGGUGGGGACAGACCAUUGUUAAUUGUUGGUCUCGGUCUUAACUAGGAAUGCCUUGUACGGGUCUUUGGUUCAACAAACCACCCGGAAUACGUCCCUGCCCUUUGUACACACCGCCCGUCGCUCUUACCGAUGGAUUUCUCUGUGAGUUUGAGGGACUGGAUACACCACAUCUAUGGAAACUUAAACGAACAGUGUGAUCUAAAGGAAAGAGAAGUCGAACAAGGCA